rnacentral:rRNA from 1 species
UGGGGAAUAUUGGACAAUGGAGGAAACUCUGAUCCAGCAAUUCUGUGUGUGUGAAGAAGGUUUUAGGACUGUAAAACACUUUUAGUAGGGAAGAAAAAAAUGACGGUACCUACAGAAGAAGCAACGGCUAAAUACGUGCCAGCAGCCGCGGUAAUACGUAUGUUGCGAGCGUUAUCCGGAAUUAUUUGGCUUAAAGGGCAUCUAGGAGGUAAGACAAGUUGAAGGUGAAAACCUGUGGCUCAACCAUAGGCUUGCCUACAAAACUGUUGAACUAGAGUACUGGAAAGGUGGGUGGAACUACACGAGUAGAGGUGAAAUUCGUAGAUAUGUGUAGGAAUGCCGAUGAUGAAGAUAACUCACUGGACAGAAACUGACGCUGAAGUGCGAAAGCUAGGGGAGCAAACAGG